AUGGCCACGGGCCUGCGGGCCCCCCACUUGGUGGCUGUGGGACUGCUGACCUGGGCGGCUUUGGGGCUGCUGGUGGCCAGACACGAGGGUCAUGGUGACCUGCACAAAGAUGUGGAAGAGGACUUCCAUGACAACAGUCACGGGCACUCGCAUGAAGAUUUCCACCAUGGCCACGGCCACGGCCACACUCAUGAGAGCAUCUGGCAUGGGCAUGCCCCCAGCCAUGACCAUGGACACUCACGUGAGGAUUUGCACCAUGGCCAUAGCCAUGGUCACUCCCACGUUAGCCUCCACCGUGGAGGACAUGGACAUGCCCAUCGUGAACAUAGCCAUGGGACUUCUAGGGAGGCUGGGGCUCCAGGCAUCAAACACCACCUGGACACUGUCACCCUCUGGGCCUAUGCACUGGGGGCCACAGUGCUGAUCUCCGCAGUUCCAUUCUUCGUGCUGUUCCUCAUCCCAGUGGAAUCUAACUCUCCCAGGCACCGCUCUCUGCUCCAGAUCCUGCUCAGUUUUGCUUCCGGGGGGCUCCUGGGUGAUGCGUUCCUCCACCUCAUCCUUCAUGCCUUGGAACCUCAUUCUCACCACGCUCCGGAUUAGCCUGGACACGGACACUCCCACAGUGGCCAGGGCCCCAUUCUCUCUGUGGGGCUGUGGGUUCUCAGUGGGAUUGUCGCCUUCCUCGUGGUGGAGAAAUUUGUGAGACACGUGAAAGGAGGACACGGACACAGUCACGGACACGGAGACAGGCAUGCGCAUGGAGACAGUCACACCCAUGGACACAGCCAUGCGCAUGGAGAUAGACAUGAGUGUUCUUCAAAGGAAAAGCCCAGCACAGAGGAAGAGAAGGAAGUGGGCAGGUUGCGGAAAAGGAGAGAAGGAAACACGGGGCCCAGAGAUGGCCCGGUGAAACCUCAGAGCCCUGAAGAAGAAAAAGCAGGCUCAGACCUGCGUGUGUCUGGGUACCUGAAUCUGGCUGCUGACUUGGCACACAACUUCACAGACAGUCUGGCCAUUGGUGCUUCCUUUCUUGGGGGCCGAGGGCUAGGGAUCCUGACCACAAUGACAGUUCUGCUGCAUGAAGUGCCUCAUGAGGUAGGGGACUUUGCCAUCCUGGUCCAGUCUGGCUGCAGCAAGAAGCAGGCGAUGCAUCUGCAACUCGUGAUUGCAGUUGGAGCAUUGGCAGGCACAGCCUGUGCCCUUCUCACCGAGGGAGGGGCAGUGGACAGUGACGUGGCAGGUGGUGCAGGUCCCGGCUGGGUCCUGCCAUUCACUGCAGGCGGAUUUAUCUAUGUAGCAACAGUGUCUGUGCUGCCUGAGCUAUUGAGAGAGGCAUCUCCACUGCAGUCACUGUUGGAGGUGCUGGGGCUGCUAGGGGGUGUUGCCAUGAUGGUACUGAUUGCCCAUCUUGAGUGAGGGGUGGGGUGACCUGUCCUUACCCUAACUCCUAAUAAAGGCAGUUGGGAGUCCUGGUCAGUGCUAAUGCCAGAAGGAGUGUCAGCCUUGGAGAUUAGCAGAACCUCUGUUUGAGGCCUUAGAGGUAUGAGGAUCAUACGGAGCAUGAGAGGCCAGAAGGACCACGGAGUGGGAGACUGCCCAGCAGUGUUGUUGCUUUUGGAAAAAUCAAUGGGACCAUGAAGAAGACUGGGAAGACGGUAGCCUACCCGAUGGUCCCUAGUCUACGAUUUCUCAGCACCAGCGUGCCACAGGGGUCCCUCCAAGGCCCAUCUCCCUCUGAACUAGUUAGUGAUGGCUUCAGGGAAGACCUGGCAGAAGGACUGGGGUAGACAUCAAUCGUGUGUCCUGAUUUGAAGGGGG